GAUCCUGGCUCAGGACGAACGCUGGCGGCGCACCUAACACAUGCAAGUCGAACGGAGUUGCCUGAUCUGAUUCUUUCGGGAUGACGAACUUGCAACUUAGUGGCGAACGGGUGAGUAACGCGUGAGGAACCUGCCCCAGAGUGGGGGACAACAGUUGGAAACGACUGCUAAUACCGCAUAAGCCCACGGUACCGCAUGGUACAGAGGGAAAAGGAGCAAUUCGCUUUGGGAUGGCCUCGCGU
rnacentral:rRNA from 1 species